ACGUACACUCCUACGGGAGGCAGCAGUGGGGAAUUUUACGCAAUGGGGGAAACCCUGACGUAGCGACACCGCGUGAGCGAAGAAGCCCUUUGGGGUGUAAAGCUCUGUCAGCUGGAACGAAAACAAUGACGGUACCAGCAGAGGAAGCAUCGGCUAACUACGUGCCAGCAGCCGCGGUAAGACGUAGGAUGCGAGCGUUGUCCGGAUUUAUUGGGCGUAAAGAGUUCGUAGGUGGUUUGUUAAGUUUGGUGUUAAAGAUCGGGGCUCAACCCUGGGACUGCACUGAAUACUGGCAGACUCGAGUGUGGUAGAGGCUAGUGGAAUUCCCAGUGUAGCGGUGAAAUGCGUAGAUAUUGGGAAGAACACCGGUGGCGUAGGCGACUAGCUGGGCCAUAACUGACGCUGAGGAACGAAAGCCAGGGGAGCGAAUGGGAUUAGAUACCCCAGUAGUCCCAUGA
rnacentral:rRNA from 1 species